rnacentral:tRNA from 1 species
GGGACUGUGGCUUAGUGGUAAAGCAUCUGUUCUGCAUACAGAAGGUCCUGAGCUCAAUUCCUGUCGUCUCCA